rnacentral:rRNA from 1 species
AUUGAACGCUGGCGGCAGGCCUAACACAUGCAAGUCGAGCGAGAGGCGGACGGGUGAGGAAUGUAUAGGGGCUGCGCGAGAGAGGGGGAUAACAGAAGGAAACAGUAGCGAAAACCGCAUACAAUCGGAUAACGCAUAUGUGAUUGGCUGGUAGGGGAGGUAAUUGCUCACCUAGGCGCCGAUCACUCGCGGGUCUGAGAGGAUGAUCAGCCACACUGGGACUGACACACGGCACAGACUCCUACGGAGGCAGAAGUGGGGAAUAUUGCACAAGGGGCGAAAGCCUGAUGCAGCCAUGCCGCGUGUAUGAAGAAGGCCCUAGGGUUGUAAAGUACUUUCAGUCGGGAGGCGUUACCGACAGAAGAAGCACCGGCUAACUCCGUGCCAGCAGCCGCGGUAAUUC